rnacentral:tRNA from 1 species
GCCUGGGUGGCUCAAUCGGUUGAGCGUCCGACUUUGGCUCAGGUCAUGAUCUCACAACUCGUGAGUUCGAGCCCCGCGUCAGGCU